rnacentral:rRNA from 1 species
UACCAGCACCCCGAGUGGUCGGGACGAUUAUUGGGCCUAAAGCAUUCGUAGCUUGUCCUGCAAGUCUUCCGUUAAAUCCACCUGCUCAACAGAUGGGCUGCGGAGGAUACUACAGGGCUAGGAGGCGGGAGAGGCAAGCGGUACUUAGUGGGUAGGGGUAAAAUCCGUUGAUCCAUUGAAGACCACCAGUGGCGAAGGCGGCUUGCCAGAACGCACUCGACGGUGAGGGAUGAAAGCUGGGGGAGCAAACCGG